CGGCCGUAUGACGAUGAAACAGCAGUUCUCGUACGAUCACCGAAAUUAAGCAACGUCGAGCCUGGUCACUACCUAGAUGAGUGACCGCUUGGGAAUACCAGG